GACAAUAUGGUGCAGUGGUUUGAACAUUGGACUAUGACUCUGGAGACCAGAGUUCAAGUCCCUGCUUGACC